rnacentral:rRNA from 1 species
GUGAAUCAUCGAAUCUUUGAACGCACCUUGCACCUUCCAGUACUCUGGAAGGUAUGCCCGGUUGAGUAUUAUGAUCACCUCAAACCCUAUGAUUUUCUUAUUGCAAAGACCAAUGCUCUGACGAAAGCACUCAUUGGGGUGCUAGUAGUUGCUGCUUGGUUUGGAAGAUCUUAGGUCUUGGACUUGAGCACUGUUGGUUCCCUCUGGAUCAACUUGCUUGAAAUGUAUUAGCUGGCGACCUGCCUUCAAUGGUUACCACUCGGCGUAGUAAGUCUUAUUCGUCGAGGACACCUUGUACCUUCAUCGGAACAGGUGGCCAUUGUGCUGUGUCUUGAUAGCCGCUUCUAAUCGUCUCUGGACAACAUAACGAACUCUUUAAUCUCAACUCGGGUAGGACUACCCGCUGAACUUAAGCAUAUCAAUAAGCGGAGGAAAAGA